AUUUAAAGUGAGGGAACGGAGCCUUUUCCGAUACGGAGCCCGAUCACACGGAGAGGAUCAGAGUGCCACGGUAAUUAGAAACAGCCUGUAAUCAAUAGCUGAGUUUCCCACUGUGCUGAGCUCCUCAAAAGCAGGAUUGCAAAUGAUGUGGUACCUCGAGUGAUAAAUAUUUCAGAGAGGAUAUCGAGCUCUGUAGUUCAGCUGGCCUGCCAAAAAUCAAGCUUACAGAUCGUUUUUCAUCACCACCAGUCACUGCACGGAGAAAUCUCUGGAGCUGAUAGUCACUGCAUCAACACUGCUGUAGGAAAUCGAGCUGCAUUUUGUUUUCCUACAAAGAUAUCUGGUUUCCUCUGUCUGUUGCCCUUUGUGAACGUGUGUUGCUGUGUGCAGUGAAAUGCAGGGUAAAUUCCUGUGCCAGCACAGCCACCUCAUAACCCAGCUGUGCCAGAGCAUCACCACUGCUCCUGCCUCUGCUCCAACAACCCUGCCAUGGCAUGAAGAGACUCAAACAGCAUUUUGCCUGCCCCAGGUACAGAUUGAUGUCUGCAAACUUUCUGCCUAUUAAAAUUGUGCCUCCAUCAGCAUCUCCUUCUGCAGGAACUUUGCGUGAUCUUAAAAUGAAGCUUGUCUGGGUGACACCUGGGCUGCUGGAACCUGUUUGUGGUGCUCAGUGGUUGUGCAUCUCUGAUGACAGUGAUGCCCCCCAAAAUCCCGGGGGGCUGAACCCCACCAGGAGUGGGAGUUGUGCUCUGGACACCACAGGCUGUGACGAGCCCAUCCCUGGGCAGAUGUUAAUCUGAAAACUUCAGCUCUUUGUGCUCAAAUUCUGCACUGGGUUUAGUCACCCAAAGGAAGAGUCACUGUGUUAAGCUGCUGGAAGGCUGGACUUGGUGAUCAAAGUCAGGACUGAGUUGAAGGUUGGACUUAAUGAUCUUGGAGGUGUUUUCUGACCUUAAUGACUCUAUGAUUCUAUGAAGUGUGUUUUUCUUGAACAACCCUCCAUUGCCCACGUGUGCCUGGGUCUGUGUCUGCUGGUGAAGUGUUCUCCAGUGGGUUGGGGCCGUGGGGAUCCUGCACCUUUGGCAGCACAAAAGCAGCUCAGCCACAGCUCUGUGGUGAGAUUCCCCAUGGCCAUGUGAGGCCCCUGUGAUGGUGGGACAGCUGAAUGGUGAGCCAUGAGCAGUCCUACAUGGCAGAGGGAAAACAGAGAGCUUGGCCAGGACCUUUGGACCAAAGAAGUUGGAGAUCUGUAAGGGAAAGAGCUAUUUCCAGCUCAGAAAAAAACGAAUUAA
rnacentral:lncRNA from 1 species